rnacentral:rRNA from 1 species
CACGUAGGCGGUUUGGUAAGUCUGAUGUGAAAUCCCACGACUCAAUCGUGGAAGUGCAUUGGAUACUGCCAGACUAGAGUAUAGGAGGGGAGAACGGAAUUCCUGGUGUAGAGGUGAAAUUCGUAGAUAUCAGGAGGAACAACGGUGGCGAAGGCGGUUCUCUGGACUAUAACUGACGCUGAGGUGCGAAAGCGUGGGGAGCGAACA